AGGCCUGACUGUGUCCUCGUCGACGUUUGCAGAAGCCGUAGGACGACGAGACAAGAGCGAGCCGCAGGAGCGGCCUCUUCGAGCUCAAGAGUGGAACGGCGAGGCAAGAGCGAGCCGCAGGGGCGGCCUCUUCGGGCUCAAGAGUGGAACGGCGUGGCAAGAGCGAGCCGCAGGAGCGGCCUCUUCGGGCUCAAGAGUGGAACGGCGUGGCAAGAGCGAGCCGCAGGGGCGGCCUCUUCGGGCUCAAGAGUGGAACGGCGUGGCAAGAGCGAGCCGCAGGAGCGGCGUCUUCGAGCUCAAGAGUGGAACGGCGUGGCAAGAGUGAGCUUCAGCAUUGGCGGCUUCGGGCUCAGGAGUGGAACAGCAAGAAGCCGUGGGACGACGAGGUAAGAGCGGCAGCGUCUUCGAGCUCAAGAGUGGAACGGCGUGGCAAGAGCGAGCUUGGAGCUGAAGAGGGAGACGAGGGGCCCUCUGGGCAAAGGGCUUUUCCAGGCCAGGGCACCUUCACGGUGCCAAGGCCGGCUUUGCGCUGGGCGACCCCCCUGUGCGCAGGGCUGGGUCUUUGCUGUGGUCGGCCUUUUGCCCUUGUGCUCCUUUGGCUGCCCGGAGAGAGGGGCAACCCUGUAAAGGAGGGUGAGAGCCCCUGUCUCCGCACCGGAGGGGGGAAACGGAGCUCUCCCGGCCCCCAGCCCAGCUACCCUGUAAGCAGGGCAGGGCUUUUCCCCAGCCCCGGCAGCUUUCUGCCUUCUGCUGGCCCCUGGCCAGUGUGACCCCCUGUACUCGGGGCGUCACAGCCUGUGUCCCUGUGCCAGGCCUGAAGCGCUUCAGCGCGUCGAGGCCCCUGUGGCCUCCCCUCAGUGCACGGGCAGGUCUGAUGCUUUCCUCUCCUGCCCAGCAUUAGGAAUGGCUCCCUAGAGUAGGUUGGCUGCACAGAACUUGCUCCCUCUUCUGGGACUGUCUCCCCCUCCCCUGUCUCCCCGUCCCGUGUCUUCCCCUUAGUUGGUGUGAGUGAGAAAGCGUGUUUGUGCUUUAGCCCCCCCGCUUUAGAAACAGAGCAGUGUAGCUUAGACUUCCCAGGAGGGAAAGAGGAGCUCUGUGCAGCCACAGGCGGGUGCCCAAAAUGCACGGGUGGAGAAAGCGUCCAGCCUUGCGCCUGCUUUCUGAGGAUGGCGCGAAGCCGCUUAGCGGCAGCGUGGGCAGCAUGACCCGCCUGUAGCCAGGGCCUGGGCGUGCGCCUGUGCUGCCGGUCGUGCUGGUGAGCUGCCAGCGUGCGGGCCCUGUACUCAGGGCACGUGUCAG
rnacentral:lncRNA from 1 species